rnacentral:rRNA from 1 species
GACGAACGCUGGCGGCGUGCUUAACACAUGCAAGUCGAACGGAAAGGCCCUGCUUGCAGGGUACUCGAGUGGCGAACGGGUGAGUAACACGUGGGUGAUCUGCCCUGCACUUCGGGAUAAGCCUGGGAAACUGGGUCUAAUACCGGAUAGGAGCCAUUUUUAGUGUGAUGGUUGGAAAGUUUUUUCGGUGUAGGAUGAGCUCGCGGCCUAUCAGCUUGUUGGUGGGGUAAUGGCCUACCAAGGCGGCGACGGGUAGCCGGCCUGAGAGGGUGGACGGCCAAGGUGGGAUGGAGAGACGGCCCAGAUUGCUGCGGGAGGGAGGAGGGGGGAAGAGUGCACAGUGGGCGGAAUCAGGAUCGAGCAACGCGGGGUGCGGGAUGAGGGCUUUCGGGUUGUAGAAAGGUUUCGCAGGGGAAGAAGGGUGAGUGACGGUAAUGGGUAAAGAAGCAAGGGCCAACUACGUG